AUGAACGCUGGCGGCGUGCCUAAUACCUGCAAGUCGAGCGAACGGACGAGAAGCUUGCUUCUCUGAUGUUAGCGGCGGACGGGUGAGUAACACGUGGAUAACCUACCUAUAAGACUGGGAUAACUUCGGGAAACCGGAGCUAAUACCGGAUAAUAUUUUGAACCGCAUGGUUCAAAAGUGGAAGACGGUCUUGCUGUCACUUAUAGAUGGAUCCGCGCUGCAUUAGCUAGUUGGUAAGGUAACGGCUUACCAAGGCAACGAUGCAUAGCCGACCUGAGAGGGUGAUCGGCCACACUGGAACUGAGACACGGUCCAGACUCCUACGGGAGGCAGCAGUAGGGAAUCUUCCGCAAUGGGCGAAAGCCUGACGGAGCAACGCCGCGUGAGUGAUGAAGGUCUUCGGAUCGUAAAACUCUGUUAUUAGGGAAGAACAUAUGUGUAAGUAACUGUGCACAUCUUGACGGUACCUAAUCAGAAAGCCACGGCUAACUACGUG
rnacentral:rRNA from 1 species